rnacentral:rRNA from 3 species
AGACCCGAAACCCGGUGAUCUAGCCAUGGGCAGGUUGAAGGUUGGGUAACACUAACUGGAGGACCGAACCGACUAAUGUUGAAAAAUUAGCGGAUGACCUGUGGCUGGGGGUGAAAGGCCAAUCAAACCGGGAGAUAGCUGGUUCUCCCCGAAAGCUAUUUAGGUAGCGCCUCGUGAAUUCAUCUCCGGGGGUAGAGCACUGUUUCGGCUAGGGGGCCAUCCCGGCUUACCAACCCGAUGCAAACUGCGAAUACCGGAGAAUGUUAUCACGGGAGACACACGGCGGGUGCUAACGUCCGUCGUGAAGAGGGAAACAACCCAGACCGCCAGCUAAGGUCCCAAAGUCAUGGUUAAGUGGGAAACGAUGUGGGAAGGCCCAGACAGCCAGGAUGUUGGCUUAGAAGCAGCCAUCAUUUAAAGAAAGCGUAAUAGCUCACUGGUCGAGUCGGCCUGCGCGGAAGAUGUAACGGGGCUAAACCAUGCACCGAAGCUGCGGCAGCGACACUCAGGUGUUGUUGGGUAGG